AGUGAACGCUGGCGGUAGGCCUAACACAUGCAAGUCGAACGGCAGCACAGUAAGAGCUUGCUCUUACGGGUGGCGAGUGGCGGACGGGUGAGGAAUACAUCGGACUCUACUUUUUCGUGGGGGAUCACGUAGGGAAACUUACGCUAAUACCGCAUACGACCUACGGCUGAAAGCAGGGGAUCUUCGGACCUUGCGCGAUUGAAUGAGCCGAUGUCGGAUUAGCUAGUUGGCGGGGUAAAGGCCCACCAAGGCGACGAUCCGUAGCUGGUCUGAGAGGAUGAUCAGCCACACUGGAACUGAGACACGGUCCAGACUCCUACGGGAGGCAGCAGUGGGGAAUAUUGGACAAUGGGCGCAAGCCUGAUCCAGCCAUACCGCGUGGGUGAAGAAGGCCUUCGGGUUGUAAAGCCCUUUUGUUGGGAAAGAAAAGCAGCAGGUUAAUACCCCGCUGUUCUGACGGUACCCAAAGAAUAAGCACCGGCUAACUUCGUG
rnacentral:rRNA from 1 species